rnacentral:lncRNA from 1 species
AUGUGUGUGUGGCUGUGUGUUUAUGAGUGUGUGUGUGGAUGUGUGUGUGCCUGUGUGCGUAUGUCUGUGUCUCUGUGUCUGUGUCUCUGUGUGUAUCUGUGUGGCUGUGUGUGUGUAUCUAUGUGGCCAUGUGGGUGGCUGUCUGUGUGUGUGCCUGUAUGCAUGGUUGUGCGUGGUUGUGUAUUUGUGUGGCCGUGUGUGUGUGUAUCUAUGUGGCCAUGUGGGUGGCUGUCUGUGUGUGCCUGUAUGCAUGGUUGUGCGUGGUUGUGUAUUUGUGUGGCUGUGUGUGUGUAUCUAUGUGGCCAUGUGGCUGUCUGUGUGUGUGCCUGUAUGCAUGGUUGUGCAUGGUUGUGUAUUUGUGUGGCUGUGUGUAUGUAUCUAUGUGGCCAUGUGGGUGGCUGUCUGUGUGUGCCUGUAUGCAUGGUUGUGCGUGGUUGUGUAUUUGUGUGGCCGUGUGUGUGUAUCUAUGUGGCCAUGUGGGUGGCUGUCUGUGUGUGCCUGUAUGCAUGGUUGUGCAUGGUUGUGUAUUUGUGUGGCUGUGUGUAUGUAUCUAUGUGGCCAUGUGGGUGGCUGUGUGUGUGCCUGUAUGCAUGGUUGUGCGUGGUUGUGUAUUUGUGUGGCUGUGUGUGUGUAUCUAUGUGGCCAUGUGGGUGGCUGUGUGUGUGCCUGUAUGCAUGGUUGUGCGUGGUUGUGUAUUUGUGUGGCUGUGUGUGUGUAUCUAUGUGGCCAUGUGGGUGGCUGUCUGUGUGUGUGCCUGUAUGCAUGGUUGUGCAUGGUUGUGUAUUUGUGUGGCUGUGUGUAUGUAUCUAUGUGGCCAUGUGGGUGGCUGUCUGUGUGUGUGCCUGUAUGCAUGGUUGUGCGUGGUUGUGUAUUUGUGUGGCUGUGUGUGUCUAUGUGGCCAUGUGGGUGGCUGUCUCUGUGUGUGCCUGUGUGGCUGUGUGUGCGUCUGUCUGUGUGUCUCUCUGUGAGUGUGUGCCUGCACAGGCAGUAAAGACCCCGCCGCUGUCUGGGGAACAUAGAGGCUCCCCCCGCAGGCCUUGCUCUGACUGCUGCUGA